rnacentral:rRNA from 1 species
GACGAACGCUGGCGGCGUGCUUAACACAUGCGAGUCGAACGGAAAGGCCCCUUUGGGGGUACUCGAGUGGCGAACGGGUGAGUAACACGUGAGUAACCUGCCCUUGACUUCGGGAUAACUUCAGGAAACUGGGGCUAAUACCGGAUAGGAAUCCUUGCUGCAUGGUGGGGGUUGGAAAGCUUCGGCGGUUUUGGAUGGACUCGCGGCUUAUCAGCUUGUUGGUGGGGUAGUGGCUUACCAAGGCUUUGACGGGUAGCCGGCCUGAGAGGGCGACCGGCCACAUUGGGACUGAGAUACGGCCCAGACUCCUACGGGAGGCAGCAGUGGGGAAGAUUGCACAAUGGGCGGAAGCCUGAUGCAGCAACGCCGCGUGCGGGAUGACGGCCUUCGGGUUGGAAACCGCUUUCAGCAGGGGCGAAGCUUGUGGUGACGGUACCUGCAGAAGAAGCACCGGCUAACUACGUG